rnacentral:rRNA from 1 species
UGGGGAAUAUUGGACAAUGGGCGAAAGCCUGAUCCAGCCAUGCCGCGUGUGUGAAGAAGGUCUUCGGAUUGUAAAGCACUUUAAGUUGGGAGGAAGGGCAGUAACCUAAUACGUUGCUGUCUUGACGUUACCGACAGAAUAAGCACCGGCUAACUCUGUGCCAGCAGCCGCGGUAAUACAGAGGGUGCAAGCGUUAAUCGGAAUUACUGGGCGUAAAGCGCGCGUAGGUGGUUUGUUAAGUUGGAUGUGAAAUCCCCGGGCUCAACCUGGGAACUGCAUUCAAAACUGACAAGCUAGAGUAUGGUAGAGGGUGGUGGAAUUUCCUGUGUAGCGGUGAAAUGCGUAGAUAUAGGAAGGAACACCAGUGGCGAAGGCGACCACCUGGACUGAUACUGACACUGAGGUGCGAAAGCGUGGGGAGCAAACAGGAUUAGAUACCCUGUAGUCCCUGAGCGGGCUGGCAAGGCGCAU